UACGUAGGGUGCGAGCGUUAUUCGGAAUUACUGGGCGUAAAGCGUGCGCAGGCGGUUUUGUAAGUCCGAUGUGAAAUCCCCGGGCUCAACCUGGGAAUGGCAUUUGGGACUGCAAGGCUGGAGUACGGCAGAGGAGACUGGAAUUCCCGGUGUAGCGGUGAAAUGCGCAGAUAUCAGGAAGAACACCCGCGGCGAAGGCGGUUCUCUGGGACGGUACUGACGCUGAGACGCGAAAGCGUGGGGAGCGAACAGG
rnacentral:rRNA from 1 species